GGAUGUGAGGGCCAUCUGGCUGCGACAUCUGUCACCCCAUUGAUCGCCAGGGUUGAUUCAGCUGAUCUGGCUGGCUAGGCGGGUGUCCCCUUCCUCCCUCACCGCUCCAUGUGCAUCCCUCCCAAAGCUGCGCGCUCGGUGGAAGAGGACGACCAUCCCAGAUAGAAGGAGUGUACCAUUCUUCGGUCAAGGGUAUAUGAUAGCUGCGCCCCCCUGCUAGAAUGAUAAAAAGCUUCCUGAAACCCAUCCACCCCCAGGUUUUGUGGUGGGGCAACCUUCAAGAACUGUGGAAAUAGAGGCAAUAUGUUUUAAGGUUUGAAAAUCGCCAAUGC
rnacentral:snRNA from 1 species